GGGCCCGUAGCUCAGGCUGGGAGAGCGCCUGGCUUUUAACCAGGGUGUCGCGGGUUCAAAUCCCGUCGGGCCCA
rnacentral:tRNA from 3 species